rnacentral:rRNA from 1 species
UGAGGAAUUUUCCACAAUGGGCGAAAGCCUGAUGGAGCAAUACCGCGUGAAGGAUGAAGGCCCGUGGGUCGUAAACUUCUUUUCUCAGGGAAGACAACCGACGGUACCUGAGGAAUAAGCAUCGGCUAACUCUGUGCCAGCAGCCGCGGUAAUACAGAGGAUGCAAGCGUUGUCCGGAAUGAUUGGGCGUAAAGCGUUCGUAGGUGGUUCUUAAAGUCGACUGUUAAAUCCCAGAGCUCAACUUUGGACAGGCAGUCGAGAACUCAAGAGCUUGAGAAUGGUAGGGGUAGAGGGAAUUCCUAGUUAAGCGGUGAAAUGCACAGAGAUUAGGAAGAACACCAGUGGCGAAAGCGCUCUACUAGGCCAUUGCUGACACUGAGGGACGAUAGCUAAGGGAGCG